rnacentral:rRNA from 1 species
AUUGAACGCUGGCGGCAGGCUUAACACAUGCAAGUCGAGCGGAGAUGAGGUGCUUGCACCUUAUCUUAGCGGCGGACGGGUGAGUAAUGCUUAGGAAUCUGCCUAUUAGUGGGGGACAACAUUCCGAAAGGAAUGCUAAUACCGCAUACGUCCUACGGGAGAAAGCAGGGGAUCUUCGGACCUUGCGCUAAUAGAUGAGCCUAAGUCGGAUUAGCUAGUUGGUGGGGUAAAGGCCUACCAAGGCGACGAUCUGUAGCGGGUCUGAGAGGAUGAUCCGCCACACUGGGACUGAGACACGGCCCAGACUCCUACGGGAGGCAGCAGUGGGGAAUAUUGGACAAUGGGGGGAACCCUGAUCCAGCCAUGCCACGUGUGUGGAGAAGGCCUUAUGGUUGUAAAGCACUUUAAGCGAGGAGGAGGCUACUGAGACUAAUACUCUUGGAUAGUGGACGUUACUCGCAGAAUAAGCACCGGCUAACUCUGUGCCAGCCGCCGCGGUAAGAC